UACAGAGGUCUCAAGCGUUGUUCGGAUUUAUUGGGCGUAAAGCGCACGUAGGCGGCAUUGCAAGUCCCAUGUGAAAUCCCACGGCUUAACCGUGGAAGUGCAUGGGAAACUGCAGUGCUUGAGUACUUAAGAGGAUCGCGGAAUUCCCGGUGUAGAGGUGAAAUUCGUAGAUAUCGGGAGGAACACCAGUGGCGAAGGCGGCGAUCUGGGAAGAUACUGACGCUGAGGUGCGAAAGCGUGGGGAGCAAACAGG
rnacentral:rRNA from 1 species